GCGCACCAGGCGAGAAACUUUACAAUGCGGAACCGUGAUAAGGAACCCGAGUGCUGAUGCCCAGCAUUGGCUGUCCACAUGCCUAAAAGCAUGUGUUAGCAAGGGCCGGGCAAGACCGGUGCCAGCCGCCGCGGUAACACCGGCGGCUCGAGUGGUAGCCACUUUUAUUGGGUCUAAAGCGUCCGUAGCCGGCUUGGUAAGUCUUCUGGGGAAAUCUGGCGGCUCAACCGGUCAGGGCGUCCAGGAGAUACU
rnacentral:rRNA from 1 species